GAUGAAGAACGCAGCGAAAUGCGAUACGUAAUGUGAAUUGCAGAAUUCAGUGAAUCAUCGAAUCUUUGAACGCAUAUUGCGCUCUCUGGUAUUCCGGAGAGCAUGCUUGUUUGAGUAUCAGUAAACACCUCAACUCCCUUUUCUUUUUUGAAAUUGGAGCUGGACUUGAGUGAUCCCAACGCUUUCUUCCAAGAAAGUGGCGGGUUGCUUGAAAUGCAGGUGCAGCUGAACUUUUCUCUGAGCUAUAAGCAUAUCUAUUUAGUCUGCCUAAAAAACAGAUUAUUACCUUUGCUGCAGCUAACAUAAAGGAGACUAGUUCUUGUGCUGACUGAUGCAGGAUUCACAAAGACAGCUUCGGCCGACUUUGUAAACUCGAUCUCAAAUCAAGUAAGACUACCCGCUGAACUUAAGCAUAUCAAUAAGCGGAGGA
rnacentral:misc_RNA from 1 species